GCCCUCGGUGGCUCAGCUGGAUAGAGCGUCUGUUCUGUAAGCAGAAGAUCACGGGUUCGAGUCCCGGUCGGGGCA